UUCCUUCCUUCCUUCCUGCUAUUGCCUUUUUUCUGGGCUGUUCUUAUUCUAUGAUACUGUAGAACUGAGGUUGCUCUGAGCAUCCUCUUGUUUCUAAGCUGCCUCAUUUGUUUCUGUUGAUUGCAUGUAUUUUUUUUAAGACCCUGCACAAAGAUUAAAAAGCACAAUCCCUGCCUGCAGGCUUAUUCUCUGAUAGGCAGAGACUGAAAAGAGAGAGAAAGAGGGGGAAAGAGAGAGAGGGGAGAGAGAGAG